rnacentral:rRNA from 1 species
AUUGAACGCUGGCGGCAGGCCUAACACAUGCAAGUAGAACGGAGUGGCGGACGGGUGAGUAAUGUCUGGGAAACUGCCUGAUGGAGGGGGAUAACUCCUGGAAACGGGCGCUAAUACCGCAUACUAUCAGAUGAGCCUAGGGGGGAUUAGCGAGUUGGUGGGGUAAAGGCCUACCAAGGCGACGAUCCGUAACUGGUCUGAGAGGAUGAUCAGUCACACUGGAACUGAGACACGGUCCAGACUCCUACGGGAGGCAGCAUUGGGGAAUAUUGGACAAUGGGCGAAAGCCUGAUCCAGCCAUGCCGCGUGUGUGAAGAAGGUCUUCGGAUUGUAAAGCUCUUUAAGUUGGGAGGCGUUACCAACAGAAUAAGCACCGGCUAACUUCGUGCCAGCAGCCGCGGUAAUAC